GACGUAGGGCGCGAGCGUUGUCCGGAUUUAUUGGGCGUAAAGAGCUCGUAGGCGGUUUGUCGCGUCGUCCGUGAAAACUCACAGCUUAACUGUGAGCUUGCGGUUGAUACGGGCAGGCUAGAGUUCGGUAGGGGAGACUGGAAUUCCUGGUGUAGCGGUGAAAUGCGCAGAUAUCAGGAGGAACACCGGUGGCGAAGGCGGGUCUCUGGGCCGAUACUGACGCUGAGGAGCGAAAGCGUGGGGAGCGAACAGG
rnacentral:rRNA from 1 species